UACGAAGGGGGCUAGCGUUGCUCGGAAUCACUGGGCGUAAAGCGCACGUAGGCGGAUUUCUAAGUCAGGGGUGAAAUCCUGGAGCUCAACUCCAGAACUGCCUUUGAUACUGGGAAUCUCGAGUCCGGGAGAGGUGAGUGGAACUGCGAGUGUAGAGGUGAAAUUCGUAGAUAUUCGCAAGAACACCAGUGGCGAAGGCGGACUCACUGGCCCGGUACUGACGCUGAGGUGCGAAAGC
rnacentral:rRNA from 1 species